rnacentral:lncRNA from 1 species
CCUGACCUGGGAGUCGGAGCCGCUGUGGACCUGGCUGCUGCCUCUGCCUCCAAAGUGAGCCAACAAAUCAGUGACAACAUGUGUGAGCUGCAGCAGUACCUGGUGCCCUACACUGACCCUUCAAGUGUAAAAAGAAGAUGAAAAUGGCGACGGGAUUUUCAUAUUCAUAAACGUGCCCCAAGUGCCCAACACAUGAUCAGCCCUGAGCUAACUACUGCCAGUCCUCCUCUUUUUGCUUGAGGAAGACUGGCCCUGAGCUAACAUCCGUGCCCAUCUUCCUCUACUUUAUAUGUGGGACGCCUACCACAGCAG